AUUGAACGCUGGCGGCAUGCUUUACACAUGCAAGUCGAACGGUAACAGGGUGCUUGCACCGCUGACGAGUGGCGAACGGGUGAGUAAUGCGUCGGAACGUGCCGAGGAGUGGGGGAUAACGCAGCGAAAGUUGUGCUAAUAACGCAUACGUACUGAGGUAGAAAGUGGGGGACCUUCGGGCCUCACGCUAUUAGAGCGGCCGACGUCUGAUUAGCUAGUAGGUGAGGUAAAGGCUCACCUAGGCGACGAUCAGUAGCGGGUCUGAGAGGAUGAUCCGCCACACUGGGACUGAGACACGGCCCAGACUCCUACGGGAGGCAGCAGUGGGGAAUUUUGGACAAUGGGCGAAAGCCUGAUCCAGCCAUGCCGCGUGUCUGAAGAAGGCCUUCGGGUUGUAAAGGACUUUUGUCAGGGAGGAAAUCCCUAGUGCUAAUAACACUGGGGGAUGACAGUACCUGAAGAAUAAGCACCGGCUAACUACGUGCCAGCCGCCGCCGUAA
rnacentral:rRNA from 1 species